AGCAAUGUGCUGAGGUCAUGUUCCGUGGUGUGGAAGCUUUGUUCUUUCGCUGUUCACAAUAAAUCUUGCGGCUGCCCACUCUUUGGGUCCGCACUAGCUUUAUGAGCUGUAACGCUCACUGUGAAGGUCUGCGGCUUCACUCCUGAAGUCAGCGAGACCACGAACCCACCGGAAGGAAGAAACAACUCCGGAAGCACCACCUUUAAGAGCUGUAACACUCACUGUGGAAAGUCUGCAGCUUCACUCCUGAAGUCAGUGAGACCACAAACCCACUGGAAGGAAGAAAUUCCAGACACAUGUAAACAUUGGAAGGAACGAACUCCAGACACGCCAUCUUUAAGAACUGUAACACUCACUGCGAGGGUCUGUGGCUUCAUGCUUGAAGUCAGCAGGACCAGGAACCCACCGGAAAGAACCAAUUCCGGACACAAUCAGACAGAGAAUGCUGAUUCACUAUGCAGUGGAACGUGCCUAACGUGUCAACAACUAAAUGCCCAGUGACAGUGUGGUUGUCUGGGCAACAGAAGAAGUCACCCACGCAAACACUUAAAGGACCUUAUUUAUUUUACAAGAGGAACAGUUUUCAAUGGAAUGGAUAUUAAAAGACACACCUGGAUCCCUUUACCGCCGGUGCUUUGAGAGGCACCAUCAAGGACAGUGAGCUAACGCAGGUAACUCAGGUAACUCAGGUAACAGGGCAGUGAGCUAAUGCAGGUAACACAGGUGACAGAGUCAUGGGCUAAUACAGGUAACACAGGGUAGUGAGUUAGCUCAUGUAAUAUAGCUAAGCCAGGUAACCCAGCUUACACAGCCAACACCUGGCAGUGGGCUAACACAGUUAACUCAGGUGCUCACCUUGGGCACAUCCCCAAGGCCCCUCGUGAGGUGGUCUGAUGGCUGUCUACAUGUGCUCCUGGACAUCUGUAUCCUGGUGCAGGGGAGCCUGGCAGGAGAGUGGACCCUCAGACCCUCCCUCAGCCACACAGGGCAGACAUCCUCCACGUGGCUUCAGCCGCAGCUAUCAAUUGAGUGGUGGGCAAGGCCAUGCUCUGGAUAGUGUACCUGGUCCUCGGUGAGGCCCAGCCCCACUGACAAGCAUUUGGGGUCUGUUUAAUUGCUCAGCCUGUCUGCUGCUAUUUGUCACAUGCUAGUAUUGGUGUGGCAGCUGCUUCUCUGAGUUCUAGCACAGGAAAGUCCUGGAGACGAGGCCACUGCCAAUGGGGGACCCUGCAGCCUGGAAGGGAAGGUGCCUGUGUGGUCCAGCCCUAGUGGCAGAAACUUGGGUCUGCUCUGUGUGUUGUUGUGUCUACAAGUGUGUCUGCUUGGCUCCUCACUGACAACAGGAGUCUAAGAGAUUCCUAACAACUGACUAAACAACACAGAGUCUGAGCAAACGUUACAGAAAUGGGGGAAAUUGCAAUGAAAUUCUGGAAAAGGAAACAGGCACAACUGAGACAACAUGGAACCUUGCUUCUGAAGGAAGGGGUGGGGUGCUGUCCAGAAAGUUCUAGAAGACAAAGCACUAGCAAAAGGCAAGAACAUAUUGUGAAUGUCUCAGGAGAGGGAUUCUGCAAUUUUUUUUUUAUCCACUAGGACAAUCCUGUACUGCAAAGAGUGUGGGGCUCUGGGCAAACCCUUCUCUAUCCCGAGUCUCAUUAUUUUCAGUCUAUAGUAGGGCAGUAGUGGGUAAGAUGCCGCUAAAGUCCCUUCCAGGACCAAUGCUGGGAGUUUUCUUUGAAGGGACACGGUGGCUGCUCCUUUCCGCCCUGAUGGCUUCCUCAUGCCUCCUCCUUCCUUGCCAACCCACAUCAUCUCCCUGGGACUUUGCUUGCAGUCAGCUCAGAGGCUGCCUCCACGCCUGCAUUCCUACUGUGCUGUAAACACAAAGGAUUCAUGCCAGAUAGGGUGGAGUGGGGUGGGUCUUACCCCUCCUGAGAGAAGCCUGUGAACUCUGACUCAGUGAGUUAAGGAGAAACACUUCUCAGGUGUGGAGAACACCUACGCUGCUGUGUUGAAGGUGGUGCUGGGCAACACUUAAGUCUCCUCCAGGAGCCCCAGGAGCAGCCGCUGGGGGAUGACCUGCACGUGGUCCGGUAACCUGUGUCAGGUUUGCAGGAUGUUAGGGCCUUCAAGUUGUUUAGCUCAAAAAUAUUCAAACUUCCUUAGCAGCAAAAAUAUUCUUUCUCAAACAAAAUCUUAUAUGGAGUCCGAAUAUAUAAAAUUUCUAUAUUAAAGACAGCGUUUUGUAAAUUUCUUUAUAAUUUCUCAUUAAUGAUGCUUAUUUAUUUUUAAUUAAGCCAGUCAACAAAACUGUAAAGGACCUUUUGGUCAACCUGGAUACUUUCAGUUGUUUCAAUAUUUUCGUAUCUUGAUCUUCCUCAUGUGGUUCCCGAAAAUUCCAAUUCAUAAAGAUAAAUAGCAGUAUAAUAAUUUCUAUAAUUUUCUUGAAUAGAUAUGUCCAGUUUUAAAUUUCAGGGAAAUAAAAGAACCUCCUAAUCAAAGACAUGCCUGAAAGAAUUUGACUCGAACUCAAAAUAUCUGAGAUGAUGGAUAUGCUAAUGACCCACAUCUGACCACUAUACAUUGUAUGUGUGGAAGCUUCACUCUGUAGCCCAUACAUAUGUACAAUUAUUUUAUGCCAAUUAAAAAAAGAAAUUUGAAAUAUACUUGUGUAGGAGUCAUGAAAGAAGUAUUUUUUAAAAUUGAGGUAAAAUUCACAUAUCAUAAAAUUCACCAUUUUAACCAUUUUAAGGUGUACAAUUCAGUGGCUUUUACAUUCUCAAUGUUGUGCCAGCAUGGUCUCUAUCUAACUGCAGAACAUUUUUAUCACCCCCAAAAGAAAACUGUCCCUAUUAAGUAUGCAUAUUUUCACUUAAGUUUUGAAGUAGUUACAAUAUAUUAAAAUGAAAUGGAGGCAAACCAGAAUAACCAAGAUGGUUUUAGGUCGUGGUAAAUGCCGUGAAGGGAAAGUGAUAGAGAAUGAGAGGGAAGAAAGACCCUUGAUUUAAGACCCAGACAAUGGGAAGGUGUCAGCAAUGGAAAGGGCAAAGGAUGGGCCUGAAGAGGGGAAAGAGAGGGUGUGCAGAAGCCCUGAGGCAGGAAUGAAUUCAGCAGGUUUAAGUAUAGAAAUGAGACCUGUGCGCUUGGAAGGGAAUGUGCCCGGGAAGGAUGGGAGGAGCCAGGGUGGGCUGCUGGGGUCUGGGGUGCACUUUAGAAUCCCCUGAGCAAUGUGGGAGCUCUUGGCCUGGGGCCUAGCCAUGGUCGCUGGCAAGCUCUGCAGGUGAUCCUAGUGAGAAGCCGGGACACAAAUACCUGAUGGCCGCUGACGGGUUUGAGAAGCAGAUACGCAGAAAUGGUCUGUGAGCGUCAACCACAAAACUCAGGAGUUGAGCUUGGUUUCUUCUCAGUCUAUGCAUAUAACAUCUUUAAAAUGUUUCUUUCUGACAUUAUGAAUCUUGACUUCAUGAAACUAAGAAGAAAUAUAAAGAAAACAAAGCCAUUCUGGGUGAAAUAUUGUCAUGCUGGGUCAUUAGCCGUUACAGAAAAAAAAAAUAUCUCAUUAUCUCCUUGCUAACUAUUUUCCAACAACGUUAAAGAUUUUAUGACAUUUAUUUUAUUGAAAAUAAUUAGUGCCCGCUGGCCUGGCAGGCAGCUGAGAGGAAGGCACUGUCCCAGAACCCUCUGCUGCAGCCUCUACCCAGGUUCAGGGGCUGCUGUUCCUGCAUCUGCUCUUAUCCCCACAGGUGCUUUUGUAGCAGGUGUUAGUGGUUCUUGGCUGAUUAACAAAGAUAAGAUUAAUUCUACCGUUAGAUGGGAACACGGAGAUUCAGUCUUAUCUGACGCCUGCCAACGUCAGGCUCUUGGGUCUAAAUUAUGGGAAUUUGGAUUUCCUUGGCUUUCCACCAGCAGAAAUCAGUAGAUUUCUGCAAAGGAAACCAAACAAGACUUCAGCUGUCCAGGUACCAUCUGCCAGAAAUUGGUUGAUGCUGCUUCUAUUUACAAAAAUACUGGCUGUGGAGUGUGUGUCUGUCCCACAAAUCCAAGGCUUUCUAGCCUGGCCCUGGGGGUCCGAUGUAGGGAGGGAGUUCAGCUGUGAGGCGCAGGCCAAGCCUGUGCUGUGCCUGGGGGAGAUGCUCAGGGACCCGGCAGCCACUCAUGGAAACUCUGCGUGGCACAUCCUCAGGAGAAAUCCAGGCCACCCACAGCCUGUGGGGCUGUAAGCAGACAAUUUGCUGCUUUGAGUCUCAGUUUCCUUGUCUGAAAAAGGGCCUGAUGAUAGAGCUUGCUUCUUAAUUUUAGCUGUGUUUAUCCUAUGCUCUGCCACAUUCACUGGGGCAGCUUGGUUAGAAGCAACCCUGGCCCCGACCUGAUCCCCCUCACUGUGGGGCCCUGGCCAGUUCUCUGUUGGGAUGGGAGCCCCCAGCCAGGCUGAUCCACAGCUGCCCUCAUGGGAUUGGUUGAGUGAUGCAGCACUUUGGCCGCCAUCCCCUGACCACGCCUGGCUCCUAGUGCCCUUGGGGGUCCUGAGCUUUUGGCUGUGGGAGCAGAAGUCCCAAGGGAGGCUCUAAGAAUAGAGUCCUUUCCAAAACUCUCAUUUCCAAAGUCUGAACUGACUUUGCAAUACUAAAUAAAUAUUGAACGAAGUUGACCCUCUCUCUCCUGCCAGAAUUUCCGGCUUCUUUUUCUAAAAUCCAUGCUAAUAGCUUCUGAACCUUUUCCUCUGUGAGAAGCCCCCUCUUUUUCAGAAUACUUGCUGAAAAGUCGAUAUCUCGUAAAAGACAAAUGCAUGAAACUACCAGAAACUUAGGAAGUCCAAGGGAGUCUGAGAAAAAUCAUAACUUGGUAAGAAAAUCUUAAAAAAUAUUUUUAUUAGCUCCUUGAGUAAUGGAAUUUAGUCAGGACUUCAGACAGAGCCAAAUAUGAAAUUUGUUGUUAUUUAAUAUUAUCCAACAUGAAACUGCUCUCCAUUUUAAGCAAUGGUUUAAAUGUUAAUUUUCAUUAGAGAUCUUUCUGCUUUCAGGAAAAAUAACAGUCAAACCUAGCGCAAACUUGAUUAGGUGAUUGUUUUGCUUAAAAUCCCCAGAGAGUUAAGGUUAGCGAUUUCAUUCUCAUUGUCCUUUGGCUCUGACUGAGGCUUCUCACCUUUCAGUCUUGCUGUUGACUACUACCUACUGUCGACCUGCCUCCACUCUGUGCCUCCACAACCACCCCCAACCAGUUUCCAACUGGAGGGGACUGGCUCCUCCAUGGAACCCUGGAAAUCUUGCAUAUAUCCACCAGGCCACUUGGCAAGACUGUCACUGUGGCUAAAUCCAAAUCUUUGCAGAGUGUCUUGUGGUCCUCUGAGAUCGUGGGAUUGAUCAUGGAGGCUUAUGAGAAGCUGCCAUUUCUCAUUGCUUCCCUGGGAUUGAGGAGGCUGUGGUGAAAGUUUCUCAUGGCCUCCUGGCUUCUGACGAGGCCUCCCUUUGGGCACAGCUACAGGUGAUAGAGCUGCUUUGCCACAGGGUGGCAGGGUGUCCCAUCCCUCAUUCCUGUUGCUGUUGUUUCUGUGCUGUCUUGAACAGGGACCUGGGGAGCUGGCAUGUGCAGCUCCUCUUCUUUUUGCCGUUCGUGGGCGCAGUAAACCCUCCUGGCCUGAGAAGGGCUCCUUGUUUCUCUGCCUGCUGAAUCAGUCCUGUCAGCCUCUGCUUUGUCUUGUGCUUGAUAUCUCCUCUCCUCCCUGCUCCCAGCCCCCUCCCUGAGAUUCAAGUCUGUGUUUGGGGCUCUUCACUUGCUCUGUGGCACUCUUUCUGAGAUGCUGCUUGUCUAUCCUAACUUCAAACUGUGGAGUGGUCUGUCUGCUCUGUAGUGUCUUUGCUCUGCCCUGCCCAGCUAUGGGCUGGAAUCUCCAAAGUUUCAAGUGAUGAAAGUGGUAGAAUAUGUCACCUUUGAAAAUGGGGAACCUGCCCUGUCUCCCUCAGCGGCACAAAGCACCAGCAGGGGCAGGACACCGGGGGUCUAGGCUGAGGUCCUUUUCAGCUCUGAAAGCUCAGUAUCCAUCCAGAAGUGCACCAGUCUCCUUGGGAGCUUUAGAGCAGAUGACAAGAUUGUUGGAUACAGGUGGCCAAAGGAGCCCUUUUUUCUUGGGACAUUGAAGAAACAGAUUAAAAUGCUACCUGCACAAGUGGUACUUAAAACCCCACUGUGCUCCUGAAUUCCCUCAUUCGCAAAAUAGUAAUACUAAUACUUAUCUCUCCACUUAUUGAGAGGACCCCAGAAAGGUGUCUAGGAGGACACUCUGCCCCUCCAGGACCUGCCACCACACGUCCUAUGGGAAAAGCACAGACAUGGGAUCCAAAGGAUCCUAGGUCUUGUUCUAAGUCUCUCCCUCAACAGGUGGGAGAAAACCUUAGUUUUCUUAUGUACCAUAUGAAUGUAGCAUUAAUAGCUAACUUACGAGGUUUCUGUGAAGAUCAGUGAGAUUAUUAGCAAAAAUAUAUAUGAAAGUUCCCAGGCCAUAGGAGGCACAUAAUAAAUGUUAACUGAAUUGAUGUUUGAAGUUGUAGGCUUUGCACAUCCUAUUGGCUUAAAACUGAUUAGAGAUAUGUGCUCUCGCCAGGAAAUAGGUACCGAAAACUCCUACCACAUCGUCUUAGGAAGGUAGUGUGGAGCUGCAUGAUGGCCUUCUGAGUCACAUUUCUUCCCUAGAAGCUCAUCGGCCAGAGUUGCAAAGUUCUGCUGCCUGAGCCAUCCGAGGGCUGUGUCUGCUCUGCUGGUGCCCAUCCAUGCUGGAGCAGAAAGGACCCUAGCUGAAGCUCAGAGGCUGUGACUGGAGCCACGACAGGAAAGGCAGGCUGCUGCUUCUGCAGAACCAGAGGCCUGGGGGAGAGGCCCCAGAGCUCAACACAAAAGCCCCAGAUGAAGCCUUAGUGAGGCCGAGUCCUGUCUGAGACUCUGCCAUUGGGGUUGCCUGUGAAUGGCUGACACUGACCCCUGCCCCCAGCCCCUUUAUUGGGAUUCUGCUGUUCUCAUCCCUGUCCCCUGGUGCAGCUACACACAUUUGCUCAGAAAGAGAGCCCCCAGCAGCUUAGAGUUCAAGAUUUUCUUGUUGGAAAAACACAACUUCUGUAGAAAAUAAAAAUGGCAAAAUGCUAAAUGCUGGUGUGAGCCAAGCAUGUGUCAGGUGUGUGUCAGGCAUGUGCCACACAGAUCAUCCUCUGUGUUGUAUCUAUGGUUCCUUCCCACCAUGUUGUGAAAGAUGCAUCAUUGUUCCCACAUUGAAGAGGAAAUGGAGGCCUGAAGGGUAAAGUGUGUGGCCACCUUGCAUGGCCCAUAGAAGGCAGGCCCAGGACGGGUGGCCCUGGUCCUGCAGACUCUGAAUUCCUUUGCUGUGCUGUGAUCACACCCAUUGUAAUCAUGAUGCCAUAGCCACUGGCACUUGCGUAGCUCUCUCAGCCUUAGAGACUGUCCCCCUGACACUACGUCCUUGGAUCUUAACUUAGCCCAGUUGGUAGACAAGCUGGUCAUACCCAUCAGAGGAUGAAAGAAGCCCAUGGGAAGUUGGCUGCCCUGCCCUGCCCCUGCCACCUGGGGAAAGGUUGGGAGGAGAGGACUGUUGGAGCCACCCAUAGGAGAGCCAGGUUGGGACUGCCAGUGCAGACAGGGUGUGGUGAUGCUGUGUGGAGAGUGCCUCUUCCUCCAGGAGAGUGGCUCCGUGUUGAAGAGGACUGAGAAUAUGGCUGGAACAGGCAAUGAGAACCGUUGUCAGCAGGAUGUGCCCACGCUAGGGAGCCUGGUCCUGAGCCCAGGGAUGUGGGUGUGCGGGGAGGGGAGGUGCAGGAGGUUGGAGGUGGCAGAGGAGAUGGACCAGCUCCUUCACUGCAUCGGUGGUCCCGACGGUUGACAGGAUGGGCUGGAUGGGGCUGGCAGUGGACAGAGAGAGGAAGUGUGUCUCUGAAGGGCAGCACAGAGCCAUGUGCCCAGCCGAGGGGCAUGCAGGAUUCUGAAGCCAGCUCAGAGAUGGUGUGUCUGGGUAGCAGGGAACUGGGGCA